UACACUCGCAGUUCCACCAACCUCUUCCGAACUCAAGACUCUCAGUAUCGAAGGCAAUUCCAGGGUUGAGCCCUGGGCUUUCACCCCCGACUUAAGAGUCCGCCUACGCGCCCUUUACGCCCAGUGAUUCCGAGCAACGCUAGCCCCCUUCGUAUUACCGCGGCUGCUGGCACGAAGUUAGCCGGGGCUUAUUCUUCCGGUACAGUCAUUAUCUUCCCGGACAAAAGAGCUUUACAACCCUAAGGCCUUCAUCACUCACGCGGCAUGGCUGGAUCAGGCUUGCGCCCAUUGUCCAAUAUUCCCCACUGCUGCCUCCCGUAGGAGUUUGGGCCGUGUCUCAGUCCCAAUGUGGCUGAUCAUCCUCUCAGACCAGCUACUGAUCGUCGCCUUGGUGAGCCAUUACCUCACCAACUAGCUAAUCAGACGCNGGCCGAUCUAUCGGCGAUAAAUCUUUCCCCCGAAGGGCGUAUCCGGUAUUAGUCCAAGUUUCCCUGGAUUAUUCCGAACCGAAAGGUACGUUCCCACGUGUUACUCACCCGUCUGCCACUAGCACCGAAGUGCCCGUUCGACUUGCAUGUGUUAAGCCUGCCCCAGCGUUCGCUCUGAGCCAGGAUC
rnacentral:rRNA from 1 species